rnacentral:lncRNA from 1 species
AUAAACUAGCCUCACGCCACACUUUUAUUUGUGCCUAUUUUUCUCUCUUUUGCAUGAGGUUUUCAGCAUGUAAGAAGUUCAUGUUAAACUCCUUUUCCAUGAGAUAUCUUGGAGCAAAUAAGAAAGGUUGUGGUGGCAUCAAAAAUUAAGAGUCCAAGGGAGUUUGGACUCUUACCUAAAAUCCUAUCAUCUUCCUAUUUAAACAUAGGAUCAAUAUGGGUGAAAACAACCUGAUGGUGAUCAGCUUUGGAUGCCAAAAGGAAGAGGAGGCGUGCAUGAAAAAUAGGGGAGA